GGAUUAAUGAGACAUUUUUCAAUUUGAGAGUGUUCAACAAGCAGUUUGUGGGUUUGGAAGGCGAAGGAAACCGAGUAACAGCAGUUUCAAAUACAACAGGAAACCCACAAACAUUUCAGAUUACAAGGGAUAAUGGUGAUCCUAAUCGAGUUCGCCUCCAAGCACCUAAUGGGCAAUUCCUUCAGGCACAGUCAGAAACGUUGGUGACUGCAGAUUAUGGAGGAUCUGGUUGGGAAGACAGUAAUCCAUCCAUCUUUAAAAUGAUCAUUCUCGCUGACAGGACCAUACGUGGUGAAUACCAAAUUACAAAUGGCUAUGGCCCAGAAAAAGCUCGUCGGGUUUUGCAGGCUCAUUGGAAUUCUUAUAUAACUGAUGAGGACUUUAGAUUCAUGUCUGCAAAUGGUCUUAAUGCUGGGAGAGUUCCAGUUGGAUGGUGGAUAGCUAGUGAUCCCACACCAAAGCCUUUUGUGCAUGGCUCCUUGAAAGUCUUAGACAAUGCUUUUACAUGGGCAGAGAAGUAUGGAAUGAAGGUAAUAGUUGAUUUACAUGCAAUUCAAGCUUCACAAAAUGGCAAUGUGCACAGCGGAACAAGAGAUGGAUAUCAGGAAUGGGGAGAUUCCAACAUUCAGGAUACCGUAGCUGUGAUAGACUUCAUUGCAGCAGGGGGAAUGGACUGGAGAAUGGGCAUUCAAGGGAGCAACAAAGAAAGAUUAUCAAAAAUUUGCUAAAGCUCAACAGAAAGUUUAUAGGCGUGCGACUUUUGGAUGGACAUAUUGGGCUUAUAAGUGUGCAGAGCACAAAUGGAGCCUCCGGUGGAUGAUCGGGAACAACUAUAUAAAGCUUUAAAUUUCCACCAUGGCUAGUGGAUACUUGUUUAAUACCAGCAUCUGCCUUUUGAGAAAUUAUUAGGUGCAAUCGGUGUACAUACACCAUCUCUUACAUUUAUAUGGGAUCAAUUUUUCAUAUUAUAAGGAGGUCACUUUUCUGUGAGAGAGAUUAGUACUGUGUAUCUAAUAAGUAAUCCAACUGCCUUAUGGUUCCUGCUAUUCCACCACAAUGAUGUAUAUUUCAUUUCAUUUGUCUUGUUAGUUUUCAAGGAAUAAAGGCAUGCCAUACUAUCUCUAGAGUGCACCAAGAGUAUAUACUCG
rnacentral:misc_RNA from 1 species